CCCAACCAGGUUUAGCAGGUUAGUUCAAUUUAGACCAAAAUAAUCUCAAAACUCUAGACCAAAAAUUUCAUACUCCCGCCUCCCGAGCUCAACUCCCUUCUUCUUCCCUCAGCUUUCCUGCGUCGCAAUCAAUGUAGCUUCCUCGUCGGUGGUUCUCGCCAGUCGCCAGUGGGUCCUCUUUUCUCGCCUCCUCGUCAGUCGCCCUAGGGCUGAACUUAGAAUAUUUUCAAUCUGAAAAUUUUUAAAGCCUGCUCAAAUUGACCUUCCCCCUUCUUCUUCUUCCCUCAGAUCUCCUCUACGGACCGGCAAACACCACACUCAGUGGUGGACGUGAGGGCAUACCCAGACGACCACACACACUUCUUUUUCUCUCUCCUCUCACCUAUACCGGAAAAAAAACCCUAGAAGUCAUGGGGCUGUUCCCGUGUUUCAAUUGCUCAAUAUUCUGUUCGUUCCAAAGUUAGCAAGUCAAGGAGGUUUCAGAAGAUUGGAGUUGGGGUUCCCAUCUGCUGCAAAAGAAAUACAUUGAUUGAUUUUGAGGAAAGAACAAGCGCAAAUGAGCUUGUAACUCGCCUAGUUUUUUAGCAAGGCAGCACCGAAGCAGCUGAAAAUGUAGCAGAUAUCAUGUCUACUUAUUUUGUUCAAGAAGUUAUCUCAGCAUGUGUACCUCAUGUUUAUCCUUCACGGUGUGGCCAUGGUUGGGCUUGUCUUCCAUUGGUUGCAUCCAGUGCCAAGAUUAGCCUUGCAAGUCAUUUACCGACAUCUUCUGCUAGAGGGACUUCUGCAAGUGAUGCCAACAGUUCCUUGGCUUCAGCUGGUAUUGCUCAGUACCAUCUUCAGUUAGACAUAAGAAAGCAUUUGGUCAAAAUUUCACCAGUUAGAGUUGUACUAGCAUGUAUCUUCGGAGCAGUAUAUUAUACAGUAGUAAUGAGUCAUCCAUCCUCAGUCCCUUGAAUGAAGAGCUGCUGCAUUCACCUGAUACUGACAGGAUAUUCUUUGAAUUCGCUCUUGAUCAGUCAAAGAGGUAUGCAAUGUUGUUGUAUACUUGUAUAUGUCACAAUAACUGACACAGUUUGUUUAGGCUUAAUAAUUGACUGUUUUUGUUUGCAGAUUUCGAACUUUGAACCGAUAGAUUCAGAUGCAGACUAAUCUUCACCGAGUUUCUGAGAUUGCUGUAACACCCAAGGAUACAGAUGAUGCUGGUGGGAUACAUAACAACAGGAAAUCAAUGAAAUUGCGAACAACAGAGAAUGCUUUUGAUUUUCGAAUGGAUCUAAGUGAUGAAAAAGUGAAAAUCCAUAAGUGAAUUGCGAACAACGAAGGUUAGUUGUAAUAUUUGAAUUUGGAGUUGUAUACUUGUAUUAGCGAUUUUAUGUUUUUAAUUUGAUAAUUUUAUUGCAUUUUGAUUUACAGAGAAUAUAUAUGGAAAAUUAAUAUGGUGAAGAACCCUAAUCCGCAAUUUAAUUGGUUACUGGAUUUGGAUUGAUUUUGGACAAAAUGGUUAGAUUUGGAUUCAGAUUUUGUUUAUUA